rnacentral:rRNA from 1 species
UACGUAGGGGGCAAGCGUUGUCCGGAUUCAUUGGGCGUAAAGAGCGUGUAGGCGGCCAGGUAGGUCGGGUGUGAAAUCUCCAGGCUCAACCUGGAGGGGCCACUCGAUACUGCUGUGGCUUGAGUCCAGUAGGGGAGCAUGGAAUUCCCGGUGUAGCGGUGAAAUGCGCAGAUAUCGGGAGGAACACCAGUGGCGAAGGCGGUGCUCUGGGCUGGAACUGACGCUGAUGGACGAAAGCGUGGGUAGCAAACAGG